UUGCCAGAUUGUGUUUAUUGUUUCAGCUACCCUAGUUUAUAACAUUUCAUGUUACAUAAUCACAUUUAAAAGUACACAAUUGAUUAUCUACAAACUGAACGAUAAUUACAUUAAUUAAUUCUAUUAAACGACUUCACCCCUUAAAAAGUCCGCUUCCGUAGUCUUUCAUUCCCGGGGCAUUUCGGGAUAUGUAGUACGUGUCAUAUAAUGGUAACACAGCGCUAAGCAGCUGCCGGUCUCUUUAUCUCUGCCCACCAAGGAAGGCGGACGUGUUCUUCUGUGCUUGAAUGAAGGCUAAGAUGAAGGAACCAAUGAUUGCUGCAUCCUGGAAAUAGGAGCCAUGCGAAAGGGAUGGAUUGAGAUGUCCCACAAAAAAAUAACAGGACGCAAAAGAGGUUCCUCGUUGGCCCUAAAUGGUGAGCUGAUUUCCGGAAGCCUUCUUUUACCUUUGAAUGAUUUGCCCCUCUGAAAAUAGCCCAGCAUGUAAUGGCUAAAGUGAUGUUUGUGAAGUUAAAAGCUUGUCAGAGAAAAAGAUUCCAUGUCUGUGAUGCAAUUAAAGCUUUUUUUAUAAGUGUUAAA